rnacentral:rRNA from 1 species
AAUGAACGCUGGCGGCAGGCUUAACACAUGCAAGUCGAGCGGUAACAGAGAGAAGCUUGCUUCUCUGCUGACGAGCGGCGGACGGGUGAGUAAUGCCUAGGAAUCUGCCUAGUAGUGGGGGAUAACUUGCCGAAAGGUAAGCUAAUACCGCAUACGUCCUACGGGAGAAAGGAGGGGACCUUCGGGCCUUUCGCUAUUAGAUGAGCCUAGGUCGGAUUAGUUAGUUGGUGAGGUAAUGGCUCACCAAGACCGCGAUCCGUAACUGGUCUGAGAGGAUGAUCAGUCACACUGGAACUGAGACACGGUCCAGACUCCUACGGGAGGCAGCAGUGGGGAAUAUUGGACAAUGGGGGGAACCCUGAUUCAGCCAUGCCGCGUGUGUGAAGAAGGUCUUAGGAUUGUAAAGCACUUUAAGUUGGGAGGAAGAGCAGUUAACUAAUAUUUGACUGUUUUGACGUUACCGACAGAAUAAGCACCGGCUAACUUCGUGCCAGCAGCCGCAGUAA